rnacentral:rRNA from 1 species
GAUGAACGCUGGCGGCGUGCUUAACACAUGCAAGUCGAACGGAAAGGCCCUGCUUUUGUUGGUUGCUCGUUUGCCGAACGGGUGAGUAUCACGCGAGUAACCUCUCCUUAUCUUUGGGAUAUCUUCACGGGACUGGGGCUCUUAUCCCAGAUGAUCUUCUGAUCCGUGUGGGUGGGUGGAGAGAUUCGGCGGUGGUGUCUGGGCUCGCGGGUUAUCCGCUGGUUUGUGGGGUAGUGGCGUACCAAGGCUUUGAAGGGUAGCCGGCCUGAGAGGGUGACCGGCGACAUUGGGACUGAGAUACGGCGCAGACUCGUACGGGAGGCAGCAGGGGGGAAUAUUGCACAAUGGGCGGGAGACUGAUGCAGCAACGCAGGGUGCGGGAUGACGGCCUUCGGGUUGUAAACAGCUUUCGCCUGUGACGAAGCGUGAGUGACGGUAAUGGGUAAAGAAGCACCGGCUAACUACGUG